rnacentral:lncRNA from 1 species
AUCCCCCACAUGGUUGCCUUAAGGACAUUUACUGCUGAGGAAUCCCCUUAGCAGUAGUGUCCAUCCCGAUGAUGAUCCUUAGGCUAGGUCCCUUAUGAUAGGUGUUUAGGGACGUAAUGAGAGGAUAACGGGAAUGGGUAAUCGGGUUAUUGUUGAUUGAUAAAGUUAAUAAACUUAUUUAUUGUGGGUUGAAAACCCUAUGUGCUCACUAGGCUCCCAAGCCUGACCCACUUAGUUUCUUGUAUUACAGGUAGUGGCGCAUGAGCAUAGAUGUGAUGUCUUGGGAUGAGAGAUUAAGGGAUUUUAGGCCUGUAAAUACAUAAUAAUGUAGUAAGGCCUAUGAUGUAUUGUUUAUGCUUAUGAUCUGUAUCGAACAUGACAUCCCGAGUCUUUUUAAUUAAAUACAUUUCUAUGGAAAUGCUUUUGAUAAAUAUUUAUCAUAUUUUGUUUUGGGACAAAUUCCGCAACACUUUUAUUUAAAAUGUUACUCUGAUUUUUAAACAAUGCAUAAACAAAAUCGGUCUUUUCUGGCCGUGAAAAUGGGGAUGUCGCAUUUGGUAUCAGAGCAUUAGUUUAAGCGAACUAGGAAUUUGUAGGAUUUCUAGACUUAAACUUAGAAUGCUAAGCGACGAUUGUGAGGUGUGAGCACUAGCUUAUUUUAGGAAUUAUGCCUAAAAUGCUUUUAUGUGCUAAAUGUUUUGUGCCUUAUAUGCUAUUAGUUAUUCGGAUCUAUGUCCUGUUGCCGACCGGAUCUGGAAACCUUAUGUGUUUAGGAUUCUAAACGUACGACUACGAUAUUAGAACUAGCAUGUAAAUGUUUCGGAGAGAUAAGGAUGAUUUGAACAUUAGUCCUAAAUAAAGAUCUAAAUUUACAUUAUUCGGUGUAUAGAUCAAGAUGACAAGGACCUGUAGCGGAAACGUGAAUGCAAAUGGGAACAGAAACCCACCCCCAGUGAUUGAGCAAAUACCGGUUGUGGUAGCCGUUGAUGAGCCAAUAACGAUGGCCGGAGUACAAGCGAUGAUCCAAGCGAUGUUGGAUCGUCAAAUGCAAGAAACCAGACGUUUGUUCCAACAAAAUCGAGAUGAAGCAACCAUACAGAUCGAACAGCCCGAGUUGAAAGAAGGGCAGACUGAGGAGGGGAACUACAGUGGAACCAUAGGUCAAGUCAACCCACCAAUAGUUCGACAAAACAACCAAGAUGACAGAGUCGAGAGGAAUGGAUGCAAGUACAAGGAUAUUCUGACUUGCAAGCCAUCGACUUUGACUAGAAAAGAAGAUCCGAUCGGGGUUAUGGAUUGGUUCUCAGAGAUGGAGUUAGCUUUCAUGAUGUGCGGUUGCAGAGGAAAACUACAGACCACGUUUGUAGUGCGUCAGUUUCGAAGAGGCGCUAUACGUUGGUGGAAUACCUUGGGGAAGACUCUGAGCCCCAUUGAGCCCCUGCAACUAACAUGGGCAGAGUUUUUGGUGCAGUUCAAAUGAAAGUACUGCUCAGCUCAAAACCUGCUCGAGCUAGAGAACCAAUUCCUAACCCUGAAUAAGGGAAGCAUGUCAAUCAAUGAAUACCGAACAACUUCACAGAAAAGAUGAAGUUUGCCUUACGUCUUGUUCCGGAUGAGCUGACGAAAAUCGAUAAGUACGCAAAGGGAUUUCCAUGGGAGUACACGGUGCCAGUGCAUCAGGCACAUACUCUGGAGGCAGCUAGCUGGGCUGCCAAGUCUGUGGAGGAUAUGAUUAAGGGAAGAGCUACCAACAAGGUUGAGGUUGGCGAGAAGAGGAAAUUUGAAGGGUCUGCUAAACCCAACAAAAAGAAGAGAAAGUUCAGUUCAAAGAAGUUCGGGGGAGGAGGAAAUGAAUCGAAAUGGUGCGAGAAGUGCAAUAAGAAGCACUCAGGAAAAUGUAGCGAGGAAGUAACCUGCUACAAAUGUGGGAAAACGGGGAACUAUGCCAAUGAGUGCACAAUAACAAGAGGGUGUGCUACGAGUGCCGUGAAGAAGGGCAUAUUGCUAAGGAUUGCCCAAAGAAGAAAGAUGUGGGAAGGCCCAACAUUCCACCAAAGCCGAAGGUGAGAGCCUUCCAGAUGACGCUUGAGGCUGCAAAGGAGGCAACAGACGUCGCUUCAGGUACCUUUCUUGUAAAUGGUUUGCCUACCAAUAUACUAUUUGAUUCCGGAGCCAACUACUCCUUUGUGUCAUGUAAAUUUGGUGGAAAACUAGCAUUACCUGUAGAAAAAACUUGAUAAUGCCCUGAUUGUAGAAGUUUCCAGUGGCAACUUCGUACCUGUUAGUAAUCGUAUUAAGAACGUAGUCAAAUACCUAAACAAAAACAAAUUCCACGAAGAGCUAUUACCCAUAGAGUUAAACGGUUUCGACAUCAUUUUGGGUAUGGAUUGGCUUAGCGCCAACGAUGCCGAGAUAUUAUACCAAAAGAAGAUAGUUAGGGUAAAUCCCCCUGGAAAGGAGUCAUUUAUGGUGUACGGGGACAAACGUAGAGUGAAUUCUGGAAUCAUCUCCCUGAUGAAAUCUAGAAAAUGUUUAUCCAAAGGAUGUGCAUCAUAUUUGGCAUUUGUGAUUGAUGCUAAGAAGGAAAAGAAGGAGGUGCAGAAGAUAACGGUCGUAUGUGAUUAUCCGGAAGUCAUUCCCAAAGAUCUUCCCGGAUUACCACCUGAUAGGCAAGUGGAGUUUCGGAUAGACUUGUUACCAGGUACAACACCGAUAGUAAAGGCACCUUACCGAUUAGCACUAACGGAGAUGAAGGAGCUUAUGACGCAACUUCAGGAGCUGUUGGACAACGGUUUCAUUCGACCUAUUUCAUCAACCUGGGGAGCUCUAGUGUUAUUCGUAAAGAAGAAGGACGGAAGCAUAAGAAUGUGUAUAGACUACUGAGAGCUGAAUAAGGCAACGGUGAAGAAUAAGUAUCCAUUGCAGAGGAUUGACGACCUAUUCGAUCAACUACAAGGUUCGAGCUACUUCUCAAAGAUCGAUCUUUGGUCGGGAUAUCAUCAGCUGAAAUUGAGAGAUCAGGAUAUUAAGAAGACUACAUUUAGAACGAGAUAUGGACACUACGAGUUCUUGGUUAUGUCGUUUGGACUAACCAAUGCUCCAGCAGCAUUCAUGGAAUUGAUGAAUAGGGUUUGCAAACCAUUCCUCGAUAAAUCUGUGAUAGUGUUCAUCGAUGACAUUCUGAUCUACUCGAAAAUCCAAGAGGAGUAUGGCAAGCAUCUACGGGAAGUAUUAGAAGUGCUGAAUAAGGAUAAGCUUUAUGCAAAGUUCUCCAAGUGUGAUUUUUGGAUCCGAGAAGUCCAAUUCUUGGUUCAUGUGGUUAACCAGGAGGGAAUAAUGGUUGACCCCGUAAAAAUCAAAGUUGUAAUGAAGUGGGAACGUCCAAAGAGUCCCACAGAGAUUCGAAGCUUUCUAGGAUUAGCCGGAUAUUACUGACAAUUUAUCCAAGACUUUUCUUCGAUAGCUGCUCCAUUAACAGAGUUGACCCACAAAGGAGCUACGUAUACGUGGAGUGAGAAGCACGAUGAGGCAUUCGAGAAGCUAAAGAAGAAGUUAUGUAAAGCACCGAUACUUUCUCUCCCCGAUGGAGUUGAAGACUUUGCGGUUUAUAGUNAGUGACGCAUCUGGAGUCGGGUUGGGUUGUGUUCUAACCCAGAGAGAAAAGGUGAUAACAUAUGUAUCUCGACAAUUGAAAGAGCACGAAAAGAACUACCCCACUCAUCAUCUGGAGUUGGCAGCGGUAGUAUUUUCCUUAAAGAAUUGAAGAUGAGGCAACGACGCUGGCUAGAACUACUCAAGGACUAUGACUGUGAGAUACUUUACCACCCCGGUAAAGCAAAUGUUGUUGCUGAUGCUCUCAGUCGGAAAGUCAACCUCGAAAAGAAAAGGCCAAGAGCGUUGAGAAUCGAAGUCGUCUCGACGAUUGUGGAAAGUAUUUCGAAAGCUCAAGAAGAAGCUUUAGAGAAGAAUGAUCGAAAGGAAGAACGUUUGGGCAAAACGUUAGCGUUCGGUACAUACAGUCGAGGACUGAAGGUAUUCCAACAUCGGAUUUGGCUACCAAAGACGGGAGGAAUAAGAGACCUUCUGAUGGAAGAAGCACACAAGACCAUGUACUCGAUUCAUCCCGGUAGCACUAAAAUGUAUAGUGACCUAACACCCUACUACUGGUGGCCGACGAUGAAGCUCGAUGUUGCGAAGUAUGUGGCCGAGUGUGUGACAUGUGCAAGACUUAAGGCACAACAUCAGAAAUCAUAUGGGAUUUUACAACCUUUACCUGUACCCAUGGGUAAAUGGGAAGAUAUCACCAUGGAUUUUGUGACUAAACUGCCCAAGACGAAGAACGGUCAUGACAUGAUUUGGGUAGUCGUCGAUCGUUUCACUAAGAGUGCACACUUCAUAGCAGCCAAUGAAAGGUGGUCUAUGGAUAAGCUUGCAAAUGCUUACGUGAAGGAAAUUGUGAGACUUCACAGUGUUCCUCUAACGAUUAUAUCAGAUCAUGAUAGUCGUUUCACAUCGAGGUUUUGGAGGAGUCUGCAAGAAGAAUUGGGUACGAAAUUAUGUUUGAGUACGACUUACCAUCCACAAACUGAUGGUCAGAGCAAAAGAACGAUUCAAACACUUGAAGAUAUGUUGAGAGCAUGUACGCUUGAGUUCCAAGGUAGCUGGGAUGAGCACUUACCUCUGGUAGAAUUUUCCUACAACAAUAGUUUUCACUCGAGCAUCAAGAUGGCGCCUUAUCAAGCUUUUUACGGACAGAAAUUUUGUACGCCGUCUUGUUGGCUUGAAGCCGGAGAGAAGCAGUUUAUGGGCCCCGAGAUAGUCCAUGAGACUGCUGAGAAGUUGAAAGUGAUUAGGGAAAGGAUGUUAGCAGCUCAGGAUCGUCAGAAGAGCUAUGCUGACAAGAAAAGACGACCGAUGACCUUCGAGGUUGGGGAUUCAAUUUUGCUUAAAGUCUCACCGUGGAAGGGACUUAUAAGAUUCGGGAAACGAGGAAAGUUGAGUCCAAGGUUUAUUGGACCGUUUAAAGUUCUUCAGAAGAUUGGGAACCAAGCUUACAAGCUCGAAUUACUCUAAGAACUAGAUGGUAUUCAUAACACCUUCCAUGUGUGUUAUUUGAGGAAAUUCACAGGAGAAGUUCCCGACAUAAUUCCAAUCUCAGAGUUAAGGAUGGAUGAGAAUAAAAGGAUGAUCAAAGAGCCUGAGGCAAUUGUUGACCGUAAGACUAAGAAGUUACGACGCAAGAUGGUCGACUUAGUGCUAGUCCGAUGGAAACAUUCGAAUGGACCGAAUCUCACUUGAGAAAUAGAAAGUGACAUGAUGAGUUGCUACCCACAUCUGUUUGCUAAUGCAUGAUUCCGGGACGGAAUCAUCCUAAGGGGGAGAGAAUUGUAACGCCCGGGUUUCGGGGCUAAGCAUUUUAGACGAUGUAAUAGUCUAGGUCAACUAUUGUAACUCAUAUUGAAUUAAUAAAGAUGAAAUAUUUGAGUAUUAUGUGAAUUAUGUGAAUUAUAAUGCUUAUUAUGUAUUUAUAAAUAUUUAAUAAAUAAAAGAUAAAAAUAAGUGUCAAAAUUAAAGUGUGAGAUAAGCCCGAUAUCUUUAUAUAAAGUUGUAGUGGUCGAAACAAGGAUUCCGGGGAUAUAAAGAACGCCGAAAUCCGAGUUAUAACGAAGAAGUUAUGACCCGUCGAAGUUUCGCGACAGAACCGGCACGAUACCGGGAAGCGUAAAUAGUGAAUUUACGAUAGAGCGAGAUUUAGCCUUAGCGAUCUAAACGAAAGUCGUAGAAUAUGUUAAACUAAGAACNUGAAUUUACGAUAAAGCGAGUUUUAGCCGUAGCGAUCUGAGCAAAAAUCAUAGAAUACGUUAAACCGAGAGCGUCCAUAAAAAGAACGCCCAAAUCUGACUUCGUAUGAGGAAGUUAAGAUUUUUCGAAGUUUCGGCUUAACAGUGUACAACCCGAAAUUCGAAUAUUAGAUCGAGUGAUUUUUAGCCGACACAACCUAAAUGAGAAUCGAAGAUCUCGUUAAUAGUAGCAUAACAAUAAAAAGACAGACGAAAACGGGCGUCAGAUGAAGAAGUUAUGGAUUUUUAACGGACCAAUCCUGUCCCAGCCUGUUAAAAAUAUAAAAUUUAAAAUACAGUCAAAAUUAGCCAAUGGGGUCUAAACGAAAGUUGUAGAGUAUGUUCCCGCCUUCGCGUGGAUGUAAAGAGCGUCAAAAACGGAGCUCGUAUGCGAAAGUUACGAAUUUUUAAAGUUUGUAGUCGAAUUUGCGAGACCUGAUGCGAAAGUGCUGACGCGGCGCUUUCCCAGCCGUCGGAUGAACUCGCUUCGGAUGGUGACACCUGGUGCGAGGGUUAAGCCCAAUGUAACGAAAAGACACCCAUUGUCCGGAGUACGCCACGCAUCAGAAAGAAGUACGCCUCACGUACAGCUGUUAUACUUGGUCCGAGACAGAGCCACGAUGUAACACCGAGACUUCGACACGUGCGAGACAGCUGGAGCUCCUAUCCGAAGUUACGCCCAGCGUACCACCAAGGCUGCCGAGCAAAUCACACCAAAAACCCUUCCUCUCUAAAAUCUUUCUCUCUCUAAGGUUCCAAACCACCCCCUAAACCCUAGGAAAAAUUCCCUAGCACCCUAAGGAAGCCCCGAGGCUCCUGGAGUCUCGAGAAAAAGGGUCUUUCGGUUUCGGAAACGUUGCUCCGAGCAAAGCCCGGUUUUCUUUAAAAUCCGAUGUAAGUGAGCUACGCUUAUGCAUCUUUUAAUAUAGCUUUCAAAUAAUUAUAGUAAUGUUAUUAGGUCCUUAAAAUAAUUAUUUGGGCUAUUAUUAUGAGUUAUAUUGAGUGCAAUUUAACGCUUAUAUAAUAGUAAUAAUAGUCAGACUAUUAAUUUGUCGCGGUUAUCAUUAGACUAAACCCUAAUGGUAUUGGUACUAGGUUUUAUCAAAUGAAAAUUGUUUUGAGAGUAUCGAAGCGCUAUCCGAGUGCUGAGUCACCACCUUUCAGGUCAGUGCAUAGUUACUUUCAGCUUACACAUAGAUAUGAAGUAUUUUUUUAUAAAUUAUGUGCUAUGUGUGCAUAUUAUUUGAAUACUUGCUAUCUAUGCUGGAUGAACGUUUUUAUACAUGUUUUCAAUGAUUUAAAUUGUAUAUGUAUUUUAUAUCUACAAAAUGUGUUGGGUAAAACAUGGGUAGAUGUAAUAGUUGCUGUGUGACAAAAUAAAAUAAUGAGAGGCCACAUUAUAGAUGUUAUUGAUGAUCCAGUCAUCUAGCGGAGUAUAGAUGACGACCACGGACUAUUCUAGACAGUCCAGUGGAACACUAGCAGGCUCGAAACAUGUAGGUGUUUAUUUGAACUGUGUGCUCACCAGGUGUACUCCAUCCCCCACAUGGUUGCCUUAAGGACAUUUACUGCUGAGGAAUCCCCUUAGCAGUAGUGUCCAUCCCGAUGAUGAUCCUUAGGCUAGGUCCCUUAUGAUAGGUGUUUAGGGACAUAAUGAGAGGAUAAUGGGAAUGGGUAAUCAGGUUAUUGUUGAUUGAUAAAGUUAAUAAACUUAUUUAUUGUGGGUUGAAAACCCUAUGUGCUCACUAGGCUCCCAAGCCUGACCCACUCAGUUUCUUGUAUUACAGGUAGUGGCGCAUGAGCAUAGAUGUGAUGUCUUGGGAUGAGAGAUUAAGGGAUUUUAGGCCUGUAAAUAUAGAAUAAUGUAGUAAGGCCUAUGAUGUAUUGUUUAUGCUUAUGAUCUGUAUCGAACAUGACAUCUCGAGUCUUUUUAAUUAAAUACAUUUCUAUGGAAAUGCUUUUGAUAAAUCUUUAUCAUAUUUUGUUUUGGGACAAAUUCCACAACACUUUUAUUUAAAAUGUUACUCUGAUUUUUAAACAAAGCAUAAACAAAAUCGGUCUUUUCUGGCCGUGAAAAUGGGGAUGUCGCAGUUGGUAUCAGAGAAUUAGUUUAAGUGAACUAGGAAUUUGUAGUUUUUCUAGACUUAAACUUAGAAUGCUAAGCGAUGAUUGUGAGGUGUGAGCACUAGCUUAUUUUAGGAAUUAUGCCUAAAAUGCUUUUAUGUGCU